rnacentral:rRNA from 1 species
GUCUAUGGCCAUGCCGCCCUGAACAAGCCCCAUGUCUGAUCUUGGAAGCUAAGCAGGGUCGGGCCUGGUUAGUACUUGGAUGGGAGACGACCUAGGAAGACCAGGCACUUGUAGUCA